GUCCAGAUCGAGAGAGAGCGAGCCACCUCCCGCGAUUCCCACCGCCGCCACCCCCACCCACCACCGCCGACCUUGUCUCCGCCACGGACCCUCUCCCCUAGCCUUCACCCCCCAGAUCCACCAGUCCAGGCACGACCAUGGUCUCGCGGCCGGCUUUCUUGCCGGCGCGCGCGUGCAUGCUUCACACCGGCCACGGGCCUCUGGCAAUCAGGACGGCGACGACGUCAACGGGACCAUCGGGUCUCCGGCGGCUCGUUCCCCUCGCGCAACUGCUCCCCUCCUCCCCACCCUCCCUGCGCUCCAGAUCCGGCCCCAACGAAGCCAUGGUGAGUCCCGUCGCGACGUCUGGCCACCCGGCGAUGGCGGGGAUCCGCUGCUGCAGCGCCUCCGUGCGGGGACCUGCGAGGCCGCGCCGUGGCUGCGGGACGCCUCCAGGAACUCGGCCCGCGACCUGCUCGCCUGGACCAAGCAGGGCAGCGGCCUCCGUCGUCUUCACCAGGGGAACGAUGUUCUGCCUCACAAACCAAGCGCAAGGACAAGAAUAUUUUGUCAGAAAUGUCAACAGUGUACUGUGCCAUCUGAGUCACACCACCCUCAAGGACAGCAUCGAGAAUGAAGCACGUUGUGUUCGAUCUCAGUAUGGCUUCAUGAGGCGGGGCGUGACAAUUGGUGCACCAUUUCAGCACCAGCUCUCCUGCCGUCAGGUCUCUGCUUUCAUGUCUGUGUGCCUGGACCUAUGCCAUCGCCUGAUUUCUGCAGCUUCGCAAGCCUAAGGAAGCUCAAGCUCGACGCCACGUGAAGAGAUAUCCAGUGCCUCUGCUCGAUUACACCUUUGCCGAUCUUUCUGGUGGUACGGAAGCCCUCCAUAUCCAACCUGCUGUUGAUACAAGGGUGAUUCUCUUGUUGCUGAAAUGGAAGUUGAUACUCCUGUCGUUGUUCUCUGCUUCACUUUUAGCUGCAGUUGUUCGGUGCAUGGAUUUGCAAGAUGUACCAGUACCUUCAUCGGUUUGAACUCUGAAGCAUUUUACACCGUACAAAACAAAAAAUGUGGCCGGAAUGGGGCGUUGGAGAAGCUGCCAUCCGGCAGAUCUGUGUGAAAGCCACCAUUGAUAGGUACAAAAAGGCCAGCAGUGACACAUCCAACUCUGGCACGGUUGCAGAAGUCAAUGCCCAGUUUGCUAUCUUAGGAGAACCUGGUGUGCUAUAUGGAGAAGCAAAGCAGCAGCCCACAACUCGACCUGUGACUCCAGAUGAAGGCACCACGACGCACUAGAUACUUACUAUUUCUCUUAUGAUCUUCUAGCUGGGCUAGAGAAAAAACAGAGUUGCAUAUGAUUUCUAGGUACUAGUAGUCUAAAAUGUUGGCCUAUCUAGUGUACUAUAGGAACCUGUUGCAAUCCCCCCUAGAUGGAGGAUUAGUUCAGGUGUUAUGCAACCAAUAACCCUUCAUAUAUACUACAUCCUGUUGUUUACUGAAACCAAAUAAAUUAUCUACAUGAUACAGAGCUUAAAAUUUGCGACGAAGAUCACCAUACUAGUAUGAGGUGCCUUUUGCAUUUCUCUGUUUGUGCUGCUAUUACUAUGGCAUGCAUUGCCUGUGUUUAAAUUUUGUUUGCUGCUUCAGAUCACUAAGGAUUUUUGGUACCUUUUUAUGUCUUGUGUACUAGCGCUAAAAUCUUACAACAAAAUACAUCUUUAACAGUAUAUGAGAUUAGCAAGAAAUUAUAUGGUUUGAAUUUUGGCACUGACCUUCUUCUCAAUUAUUUUGUAGACUGCUUUCAAUGGGGGAAGAAGCUUAGAGAACUUCAAUUAAAUAUAAGAAUUAUCCAUGAUUUCAUUGUUGUGAAGGUGAUCGAGUUGGUGUUCUAUACCAGUUCCUUAUUUACUUUGAUGGUUCUUGAUACGUGAACUGUUUCAUAGGGCAUAGUUAUCCAUGUUGCAUUCUAAUUCCUUAUUUGACUAGAUUCUUCAAAUGAUGAGGCUAGUUGAUUAUCCAUGUUGCAUGUGAAUGGGUUGAGUAGAUAGAAUUGGAGUGAGCAGAUCACUAUAGGACUAAGGAAAAAUCAGAAAGUAUGUGUAGGAAAAUAUCAUCGUUCUUGCUCACUUUGCAAAAAUGACGAGUACUAGAAAUUGUCCCCUUUCACUAAUAUUUGCUGUUUGCUGAUGAUUAUACGUCUUUUGCUUGAUCUAUUAUGAUUCAUGCACACGGGUUGGCUAGAAAUAGCCUUGGUUAUAGAUAUUUUUUAUUAUUUUAUACAUUAAUGUAUGCUGUUAUUAUUUGUAUGUGUGAUGCUUUCAGCCUGUUUUACUGUUUCCUUCUCGAUUGAUCUAUUCAUGUAAUGUUCUGUUCUUGUAGGAAGGCAAGUUCGAGCAAUGAAGACAUUGUUAGGCCAGUACCAGAUGUGCUCCUACGUGUUCAACAAUGUUAUGUAGUAGUGAGAUAAGGCAAAUUAUGUAGACAUUGUUAGGACAGUACCAGAUGUGCUCCUAUGUGUUGAACAAUUCCUGUGUAAUGAAAUUUUGUAUUCCCUGUGUACAUAUUGCUUUAAUGCCAGAUUGUGAAAAUUACUCAA